GACGAACGCUGGCGGCGUGCUUAACACAUGCAAGUCGAACGGAAAGGCCCUGCGUUUGUUGGGUUCUCGAUUGGCGAACGGGUGAGUAACACGCGAGGAACCUGCCCUUGACUGUGGGAUAACUUCUGGAAACUGGGGCGAAUACCGGGGAUGAGCUCCUGCUGCAUGUGGGGGGUUGGAGAAUUUCGGCUGUUGGGGCUGGACUCGCUGGUUAUCAGCUUGUUGGUGGAGUAGUGGCGGACAAGGGCUUCGACGGGUAGCCGGCGUGAGAGGGUGACCGGCCACAUUGGGACUACGAGACGGAGCAGAAUCCAACGGGCGGCAGCAGUCGGAAAUCUUGCGCAACGGCGGGACGCCUGAUACAACAAUGCCGGGUGCGGGAUGACGGCCUUCUGGUUAUGAACCGAUUUCGCCUGUGCCGAGGAGUGCGUGACGGUAAUGGGUCAAGAAGCAACGGCUAACUACGUG
rnacentral:rRNA from 1 species